rnacentral:rRNA from 1 species
GCAACUUGGAGAAGUGACAAGUCUAUAUAAUUAUCGAUAACAGCUAAUUGUAUAAGAUUGUAUUAGAAUUGAAUGAAGCUUUGUUUAUAUAUUGAUAAUGACAGUAUAUAUAUCGUGUCUUGACUAAUUGCGUGCCAGCAGUCGCGGUAAUACGUAAGAGACUAGUGUUAUUCAUCUUAAUUAGGUUUAAAGGGUACCCAAACGGUCAAAAUAGCUUCUAUAAUGUUACUAUUUGACUAGAGUUUUAUGUAAGAGUGCAGUACUUGAGGAGGAGAGAUGAAAUUUUAUGAUACCAAAGGGACUCUGUAAAUGCGAAGGCAGCACUCUAUGUAGAAACUGACGUUGAAGGACGAAGGCACAGAGAACAAACAGGAUUAGAUACCCAAGUAGUCUUUGCAGUAAAUGAUGAAUGCCAUAGGUCAGACCACCCGGUUUGGUCUAUAAAUGAAAGUGUAAGCAUUUCACCUCAAGAGUAAUGUGGCAACGCAGGAACUGAAAUCACUAGACCG